UGACCGUGUCUGUCCACCCAGGGGUCAGCCUGGCGAAGAAACAGGCUUUUAACUUCAGCGACCUGUCCACCCUGAGCAGAGACCAGGAGGUGUGUGCACUGACCUGGGGAGACCAGCAGGAGACGGAGGUGCUGGUUGGCUGUGUCAACGGAGCAGUGAAGACCUUCAGCACAGAGAAGGGGAAAUUCAUCGAGACCCGGCAGUGUGGCGAUGCAUCACAGGGCAGAUUCACAGGGCUUGCUGUAUACGACGGUGCGCUGGUGACCUGCGUGGAGUCCGGGCUGCUCAGGGUGUGGAAGGAGGGAUCCACAGACUCGGUAAGGGCCCGUUUGUUGUUCCCUGUAGCUGCCGGCCCGCCGGAGGUCGGCACGGUCCCCGGAGCAGAAGAAUGCAUUGGGGAUCGUCUCCGUGGAAUCUGCCUGGCGGGGUGUGCUCCUACUCUGGGGUGUGCUGGCCUUAGAGGUGAUCAUUGUAAAGCGUUUUUUUAGGAGGCAGAGUUUGAGUCUGUUCAGUGAGAGGUAGGUAACAGGCUUAAAAUCUCCAGCAUCUGAAGUUGGCUUACAUCUAAGAACCGCCUGCAGGUGGUUAAACCUGGUCUGGAUCAGACUGCUCUGCACUGCGG